rnacentral:rRNA from 1 species
UUGAUCCUGGCUCAGGAUGAACGCUAGCGACAGGCCUAACACAUGCAAGUCGAGGGGCAGCACAUCUUCGGAUGGUGGCGACCGGCGCACGGGUGCGUAACGCGUAUGAAACCUACCUAUUGCAGAGGGAUAGCCCGGAGAAAUUUGGAUUAAUACCUCAUAGUUCUAAGAUAAAGCAUUUUAUUUUAGAUAAAGUUUCGGCGGCAAUAGAUGGUCAUGCGUGACAUUAGGUAGUUGGUGAGGUAACGGCUCACCAAGCCGACGAUGUCUAGGGGUUCUGAGAGGAAGGUCCCCCACACUGGUACUGAGACACGGACCAGACUCCUACGGGAGGCAGCAGUGAGGAAUAUUGGUCAAUGGUCGCAAGACUGAACCAGCCAUGUCGCGUGUAGGAAGACGGUUCUAUGGAUUGUAAACUACUUUUAUACGGGAAGAAAAAGAGCUACGUGUAGCUAAUUGCCGGUACCGUAUGAAUAAGCAUCGGCUAACUCCGUGCCAGCAGCCGCGGUAAUACGGAGGAUGCAAGCGUUAUCCGGAUUUAUUGGGUUUAAAGGGUGCGUAGGCGGUCUUUUAAGUCAGAGGUGAAAUCUUGCGGCUCAACCGUAAAAUUGCCUUUGAUACUGGGAGACUUGAAUUAAGUUAAGGUAGGCGGAAUGUGUCAUGUAGCGGUGAAAUGCAUAGAUAUGACACAGAACACCGAUAGCGAAGGCAGCUUACCGAGUUUAUAUUGACGCUGAAGCACGAAAGCGUGGGUAGCGAACAGGAUUAGAUACCCUGGUAGUCCACGCCGUAAACGAUGAUCACUAGUUGUUGGCGAUACACUGUCAGUGACUGAGCGAAAGCAUUAAGUGAUCCACCUGGGGAGUACGUUGGCAACAAUGAAACUCAAAGGAAUUGACGGGGGCCCGCACAAGCGGAGGAACAUGUGGUUUAAUUCGAUGAUACGCGAGGAACCUUACCCGGGCUUAAAUGUAAGCUGCAUGAUUCAGAGAUGGAUCUUUCUUCGGACUGCUUACAAGGUGCUGCAUGGUUGUCGUCAGCUCGUGCCGUGAGGUGUCGGGUUAAGUCCCAUAACGAGCGCAACCCCUAUCGAUAGUUACCAUCAGGUUAAGCUGGGGACUCUAUCGAGACUGCCGGUGCAAACCGUGAGGAAGGUGGGGAUGACGUCAAAUCAGCACGGCCCUUACGUCCGGGGCUACACACGUGUUACAAUGGCCGAUACAAAGGGCAGCUACUUGGUGACAAGAUGCUAAUCUCAAAAGUCGGUCUCAGUUCGGAUUGGAGCCUGCAACUCGGCUCCAUGAAGCUGGAUUCGCUAGUAAUCGCGCAUCAGCCAUGGCGCGGUGAAUACGUUCCCGGGCCUUGUACACACCGCCCGUCAAACCAUGGGAGUCGGGGGUACCUGAAGUCUGUUACCGCAAGGAGCGGCCUAAGGUAAAACUGAUAACUAGGGUUAAGUCGUAACAAGGCCGUAA